rnacentral:rRNA from 1 species
CCUCACCCUCGUAAGACUACCCGCUGAACUUAAGCAUAUCAAUAAGCGGAGGAAAAGAAACCAACAGGGAUUGCCUCAGUAACGGCGAGUGAAGCGGCAAAAGCUCAAAUUUGAAAUCCCCCGGGAAUUGUAAUUUGAAGAGAUUUGGGUCCGGCCGGCAGGGGUUAAGUCCACUGGAAAGUGGCGCCACAGAGGGUGACAGCCCCGUGAACCCCUUYAACGCCCUCAUCCCAGAUCUCCAAGAGUCGAGUUGUUUGGGAAUGCAGCUCUAAGUGGGUGGUAAAUUCCAUCUAAAGCUAAAUACCGGCGAGAGACCGAUAGCGAACAAGUACAGUGAUGGAAAGAUGAAAAGCACUUUGAAAAGAGAGUGAAAAAGUACGUGAAAUUGUUGAAAGGGAAGGGCUUGCAAGCAGACACUUAACUGGGCCAGCAUCGGGGCGGCGGGRARCAAAACCACYGGGGAAUGUACCUUUCGAGGAUUAUAACCCCGGUCCUYAMUCYCUCASYRYCCCGAGGCCUGCAAUCUAAGGAUGCUGGCGUAAUGGUUG